CGAAACCGAUAGCGAACAAGUACCGUGAGGGAAAGUUGAAAAGUACUCUGAAUAGAGAGUUAAAUAGUACGUGAAACCGCUUAGGGGUUAAGCCCGAUGAACCCGAAUAUCUGAUGUGAGAAAUUCAAUACUGUUCAUUUAAUCAAUGCGAUAGUAUGCACUUUUCUCAUAGUAGGACAUUGUAAUCCAUUAAUAUUAUAUCAUUUUCAUAUUAUAUGGAAAUGGUGAUUUAACAUAAGAACAAAAUGUAUAAGUUUAUUCUAUCAGUGAUGUGUUUACAUGUCAUAUGAAUAAGAUCGUUUUGUAUCUGUUUAAAUAGUUGAUGGAUUUUAAACUGAAUCAUGCUUGCAAUUUAAUUUG
rnacentral:rRNA from 1 species